GGCACCUCGAUGUCGGCUCAUCACAUCCUGGGGCUGAAGUAGGUCCCAAGGGUAUGGCUGUUCGCCAUUUAAAGUGGUACGCGAGCUGGGUUUAGAACGUCGUGAGACAGUUCGGUCCCUAUCUGCCGUGGGCGCUGGAGAAUUGAGGGGGGCUGCUCCUAGUACGAGAGGACCGGAGUGGACGCAUCACUGGUGUUCGGGUUGUCAUGCCAAUGGCACUGCCCGGUAGCUAAAUGCGGAAGAGAUAAGUGCUGAAAGCAUCUAAGCACGAAACUUGCCCCGAGAUGAGUUCUCCCUGACUCCUUGAGAGUCCUGAAGGAACGUUGAAGACGACGACGUUGAUAGGCCGGGUGUGUAAGCGCAGCGAUGCGUUGAGCUAACCGGUACUAAUGAACCGUGAGGCUUAACCUUACAACGCCGAAG
rnacentral:rRNA from 1 species